rnacentral:rRNA from 1 species
UGGUUGGCACUUGAAACUGUAUGACUUGAGUGCAGGAGAGGUAAGCGGAAUUCCUAGUGUAGCGGUGAAAUGCGUAGAUAUUAGGAGGAACACCAGUGGCGAAGGCGGCUUACUGGACUGUAACUGACGCUGAGACACGAAAGCGUGGGUAGCAAACAGGAUUAGAUACCCUGGUAGUCCACGCUGUAAACGAUGAGUGCUAGGUGUUGGGUAGCGAUAUUCAGUGCCGGAGUAAACACAAUAAGCACUCCGCGUGGGGAGUACGUACGCAAGUAUGAAACUCAAAGGAAUUGACGGGGACCCGCACAAGCAGCGGAGCAUGUGGUUUAAUUCGAAGCAACGCGAAGAACCUUACCAAGGCUUGACAUCCCCUUGACCAGUGCAGAGAUGUACUCUCUUCUUCGGAAGCAAGGGUGACAGGUGGUGCAUGGUUGUCGUCAGCUCGUGUCGUGAGAUGUUGGGUUAAGUCCCGCAACGAGCGCAACCCUUAUCCUUAGUUGCCAGCAUAAUAAGGUGGGCACUCUACGGAGACUGCCGGUGAUAAACCGGAGGACGGUGGGGAUGACGUCAAAUCAUCAUGCCCCUUAUGUCUUGGGCUACACACGUGCUACAAUGGUCGGUACAACGGGGGAGCGAACGAUGAUUCCGAGCAAAUCCUAUAAAUCGAAUCCAGUUCCGGAUGCAGGCUGCUACUCCC